rnacentral:misc_RNA from 1 species
UUAAGAUUAUAGGGGAAAUAUCAGCCUCCAGAUUAUGGAAAUGUGAUUAUUUGGCUGCGGCAUGGGCUCUAGCCAAUCUUUCAGCAGGGCAGUUUGUGAUGGGGGUUGAGGACAAUUUGACUGUAAGGUCAUUUCCCGACUUUACAGUUAACUCAACAGGUGGGGAGAAUAAUAUGGUUAAUGGUGGUGGAUCAACAAGAACAAGGAAAUUCAGCAGCAGGAGCAUCGGGUUCAAUCCAGGAAGCUCAAGUUUUGGAAUUGGCAGGAGCAUGUAUAGGGG